rnacentral:rRNA from 1 species
AUUGAACGCUGGCGGCAGGCCUAACACAUGCAAGUCGAACGAGUGGCGGACGGGUGAGUAAUGUCUGGGAAACUGCCUGAUGGAGGGGGAUAACUACUGGAAACGGUAGCUAAUACCGCAUACCCUCAGUUGUGCCCAGAUGGGAUUAGCUUGUUGGGGGGGUAAAGGCUCACCUAGGCGACGAUCGCUAGCUGGUCUGAGAGGAUGAAAGGCAAAACUGGAACGGAGACACGGACCAGACUCCUACGGGAGGCAGCAGUGGGGAAUAUUGCAAAAUGGGGGCAAGCCUGAUGGAGCCAUGCCGCGUGUAUGAAGAAGGCCUUCGGGUUGUAAGGUACUUUCAGCGGGGAGGCGUUACCCGCAGAAGAAGCACCGGCUAACUCCGUGCCAGCAGCCGCGGUAAUUC